rnacentral:rRNA from 1 species
CGGACGGGUGAGUAACACGUGGAUAACCUACCUAUAAGACUGGGAUAACUUCGGGAAACCGGAGCUAAUACCGGAUAAUAUUUUGAACCGCAUGGUUCAAAAGUGAAAGACGGUCUUGCUGUCACUUAUAGAUGGAUCCGCGCUGCAUUAGCUAGUUGGUAAGGUAACGGCUUACCAAGGCAACGAUGCAUAGCCGACCUGAGAGGGUGAUCGGCCACACUGGAACUGAGACACGGUCAAG